UACGUAGGGCGCAAGCGUUAUCCGGAAUUAUUGGGCGUAAAGAGCUCGUAGGCGGUUUGUCGCGUCUGCUGUGAAAUCCCGAGGCUCAACCUCGGGCUUGCAGUGGGUACGGGCAGACUAGAGUGCGGUAGGGGAGACUGGAAUUCCUGGUGUAGCGGUGGAAUGCGCAGAUAUCAGGAGGAACACCGAUGGCGAAGGCAGGUCUCUGGGCCGCAACUGACGCUGAGGAGCGAAAGCAUGGGGAGCGAACAGG
rnacentral:rRNA from 1 species